rnacentral:sRNA from 1 species
AUGUACCACUUGUACACUGCGGUUCCCCAGCGCCGUGCGCACCUGCUUGGGGACUGCUCGCUACGUUUUAUUAGCC